CGCGGUGUGGAGCAGUUGGUAGCUCGUCGGGCUCAUAACCCGAAGGUCGUAGGUUCAAGUCCUGCCGCCGCUA
rnacentral:tRNA from 1 species